rnacentral:rRNA from 1 species
AGUGAACGCUGGCGGUAGGCCUAACACAUGCAAGUCGAACGGCAGCACAGGAGAGCUUGCUCUCUGGGUGGCGAGUGGCGGACGGGUGAGGAAUACAUCGGAAUCUACCUUUUCGUGGGGGAUAACGUAGGGAAACUUACGCUAAUACCGCAUACGACCUACGGGUGAAAGUGGGGGACCGCAAGGCCUCACGCGAUUAGAUGAGCCGAUGUCCGAUUAGCUAGUUGGCGGGGUAAUGGCCCACCAAGGCGACGAUCGGUAGCUAGUCUGAGAGGAUGAUCAGCCACACUGGAACUGAGACACGGUCCAGACUCCUACGGGAGGCAGCAGUGGGGAAUAUUGGACAAUGGGCGCAAGCCUGAUCCAGCCAUACCGCGUGGGUGAAGAAGGCCUUCGGGUUGUAAAGCCCUUUUGUUGGGAAAGAAAUCCUGUCGAUUAAUACUCGGUGGGGAUGACGGUACCCAAAGAAUAAGCACCGGCUAGCUUCGUGCCAGCCGCCGCCGUAAUAC